UGUGUUGUGCAGCUGCUAAGGGGGGAUGGAGGAGGAGUGGCACUGGCAAUUCAAGACUGCCUUUCCUACCCUUUUCAGUGCCUCUUUCAGUGAUAUCAAGUUAAAACCAGAUACUGCUUUCAUAGUACUCUUCUGACCAUGGUUUUCUGGAGUUUUUUCAUAUGGAGUUUGUAAGCUUCCUGACAUGGAUUAUAACUGUACUUGACGGAGCACAGUUAUAAUAGCUGCUUUAGAGUCCUUGAUAAUUCCCACAUCUGAAUCAUCUCAAGUUAUUUUUGGUAGAUUUUGAUGGAUGUACAUUGAUGGAUAGCCACAUGGAUCCAGAAAAUAAAGACUUCUACUGUGCAUAUUGACUAAAGCAAAAGAUAUGCAAGGAAGCUCAGUCUCUCAGUUGAGUGGAUUCUGAAAUUUAUCCUGUUGUCUUCAGCUACUAAGGCUAAUUUGCAAAUCACACUGUGCACGGAAACAACCUGUUCAGUGGCUGCUGAUUAACUCCCAAAGAUUGAUGUACUGAAGAAGGAUGACCUCCCCUUGACACCAAUGCUACUAGUCAAUAGCAACCACUGUGACUCGGAACAAAUUCUCUGGGGGCAGGCAGUGAAGCUUCUUCUCUUGUUGACCUUACCAGACCACAAGGCUGAAAAUAUUCUGUGGCCUGAUGCCCUUAAAUUGAUCAUAUUAAUACAAUCAAGCAGAAAAGAAAUUAUUUUUCCCGCUCUCUGUCUAUACAUAUACUUACUACUAUAGUGUAGUAUAUAUAUAUAUAUACACACACUAUAUAUGUGUGUAUAUAUAUGCUAUAUAUGUGUGUGUGUAUAUAUAUAG
rnacentral:lncRNA from 1 species